rnacentral:lncRNA from 1 species
AGCAAGCUUAUCCCUAACGCUGUUAUCCAGAUCCACCAAGAGCACUGCGGCUUCCAAAUUUCCGGACGGCGCCACCUCAUGUAGAGUGGUGUUGCCAUGCCUAUUCUUCAUUAUCAACGCACGGCGUAACAUCUGAGGUUCUCUUAUCAGUGAAAUCAAAAACUGCAGCAUGUCCAUGCGUCCAGCGAAGACUACAAGGUGAAGUGCAUUGUCAUUGUACGUUGUCAAUGGAUUAAGUACUUCGGUUGGAUUAUCCUUGUAAUAUCGUCUUAGG